rnacentral:rRNA from 1 species
AGGGCAAGUCUGGUGCCAGCAGCCGCGGUAAUUCCAGCUCCAAUAGCGUAUAUUAAAGUUGUUGCAGUUAAAAAGCUCGUAGUUGAAUUUCGGGGUUAGUAGGUUGGUCAUGCCUCAGGUAUGUACUGAUCUCACUGAUUCCUCCUUCCUGAUGAACCGUAAUGCCAUUAAUUUGGUGUUGCGGGGAAACUGGACUGUUACUUUGAAAAAAUUAGAGUGUUUAAAGCAGGCUAACGCUUGAAUACAUUAGCAUGGAAUAAUGAAAUAGGACGUUCGAUCCUAUUUUGUUGGUUUCUAGGAUUGACGUAAUGAUUAAUAGGGAUAGUUGGGGGCAUUAGUAUUCAAUUGUCAGAGGUGAAAUUCUUGGAUUUAUUGAAGACUAACUACUGCGAAAGCAUUUGCCAAGGAUGUUUUCAUUAAUCAAGAACGAAAGUUAGGGGAUCGAAGACGAUCAGAUACCGUCGUAGUCUUAACCAUAAACUAUGCCGACUAGGGAUCGGAUGAUGUUAAUUUUUUAAUGACUCAUUCGGCGCCUUACGGGAA